rnacentral:misc_RNA from 1 species
GUUUGCUUGCUUUGAAAUGUUCUAUGUAUUCUUUGGAUAGCAGAAGGAGAAUGAAGUUGCAAGUUGAUGUUUUAUGUUUUGUUGUUGUAUAUGUUGUUAUUAUGCUAAUUAUAUUGAGUUAUAUUUUUGUCUUUUUGUCUUUUGUGUUGGGAUUAAUGCAUUAUCAUGUCGUCCAGUUCCUCUGUAUAUGUUUUUGGUUGCCAAGAAGGAUGUUGAGGAAAAUGGGAUAAAAUGCACUUAAGAGAAAACCUAAACAUUCUCAUUGGAAGAAUGAAAACAGUCUGUGUUGAGUGGAAGAGAGGUAGAUUGGGGACGGAGAGUUUUGUCUUUGGGUUUCAAUUGAUGGAUAGAACAUCGAUUUGAUCACAUUAUUUUAACAUUUGAAGGAUAGAACAUGGAUAGAACCAAAAAUUAUGUGUUUUGAUUUCUAUUGUUUUGGUUUCAUGGAAAAUUUGUUUUCCGGGUGCUACACUUCAGUAGUGGCAUACAAUGUGAUUUUGUUGUCAUGAUAUUAGUGGGUUUAGCUACUAGAAGAAUGUAGUUCAAGUGGACUUAUAAUUUCAAACCUUCUUGUUCUAUUUCUUGUUUUGGACAAUAGAAAAGCCCUUCUUUGGAGGAAAUGAUAAUACUUUUUGGCUUAGCAGUAUUGUAUCUGUCAUUGUUGACAACUUGUGCAACAUAAGAGGUGCAAAUUAUAAUAACAUUUUUGUUUUAUCCGGGUGAUUUCUAAAAAAAGCAAGACAAAAGUAGUUAAGAAAAUAAAAUAAAAUAUCUUCUGUUUCUUCAUUUUUACCUUGGUCCUUCAAAUUGCUCUCUUAUCAUUUAAAUAUGAAAUGAUUUAUUUUUCUUGUUGGUUUUUCAUGCUAGGUUUUACUGUAGUGAAGUAUUCAUAAUAUCAUUGCUUGGUUGUAGGUAUCUGCAGCUAUCAUGUUU